rnacentral:tRNA from 1 species
GCCCGGGUGGUGAAAUUGGUAUACACAAGGGACUUAAAAUCCCUCGGCGCAAGCCAUACCGGUUCAAGUCCGGUUCCGGGCACCA